CUCCUGGGCACGGGCAGGUGUACGGCCUGAACUCGCACACCUCCUCGUGAUCGGGCUU
ensembl:miRNA